CCUUGACCUCAGAUCAGGC
rnacentral:rRNA from 1 species